ensembl:lncRNA
CUAACCACCACAUCCACGGCAGCGAUCCCUUAAGUGGUGGUGAUAUUAUUAUUUUAUUAUUGCCAGCCAGUGGCUUUAAAGGUGCAUUAUUUUAAUGCAUUAUUAAUUGUUUUCCCAGGGAGAGAAGGAAACUGGGGAUAGGGCUUAUUAUUAUUAAUAGCGAGGAGAUCACUCGCUCCUUUCGCGCACGACGAGGAGAGCGGUGGGAGGAGGCAGCGCCGGAGGGAGGCGGCAGCGGAGCGCACCCCGCUCUCAGGCUCGUUGCGCGGCCGCGGGAACCACCCGCGGGGGCCCGGCGCAGCCCUCGCCUCUCCCUCCCUGUGCCCCCACCCUCGCCCUGUUGCCCUAGCCUUCGGGCGGAAAGUUCCGCGGGCAGCGGCCAACCUCGUGCCUGCCCAAAGCAGCCCCUCGGCAUCCCCCCCAGCUCCAGCCCCAGCCCCAGUCAUAGCUCCGCGCGGGCGGCGUGUCUCCGCGGGCGCCGAAGUUGCGGCAGGGCCGGGGGGCCUCUGCGACUGCCAGCCAUCAAGUGGCUCGUUAAGGAAAUGCAGCUCCUUCGGGGCCUGUGUGGACUAGGGGCACAACCCGGCGCCUGACUGGCAGGAGGGAAAGCGGAGACUCCUUCAGGUUUCCAAAGAGGUCCGAGUGGACUGCAUUAUGUGAAUUGAUCAGAGAGAUCCAAAGGGACUUUGACAGGCUUGAGAGGUGGAACCAUGCAAACACCAUGAAGUUCAACAAGGCCAUGUGCAAGGCCCUGCACCUGCAUCAAGGCAAUCCAAACAUGAAUACUGAAUGAGGCAACAAGUCGAUAGAGAGCAGCCUUGUGAACAAGGACUUGUGGGGUUGGUGGAUGAAACAUGAGAUGGCAGUGUGCACUUAUGAGCUCAGAAAGCCGAUCCUAUCCUGGGCUCCCUGAAAUGGAGUGUAUCUAGCAGGUCAAAGGAGGUGUUUUUACCUCUCUGCUUCAGUCUCAUGAGAUCCAGUCUGCUGUACUGGAUUCAGCUCUGGAGCCUGCAGUGUAAAAAGACACUGAUGAGCUGGAGCAGGCCCAUAGAAGGGCCAUGAAAAUGAUCAGAACUCUGAAGCACCUCUCUUACAAAGACAGGCUGAGACAGCCAGUGGGACUGUACAACUUAAAGAAGAGGGGGCUCUAGUGAGACUUCGUUGUGGCUUUCCAGUACUUAGGCUUACAGGAAAGAGGGAGGGAUGGUGUGUUAGGGAUUGUAAUGAUAGGACAAGGGGUUUAAAACUAAAAGAGAGUAUAUUUAGAUUAGAUACUAAGAAGAAGUGAGAUGUUGGAACGGAUUGACCAGGGAAGUUGUGGACACUACUGAAAGUAUUCAAAGUGUUUAAGGCCAAUCUGGAUGGGACUUUCAGCACUAGUAGAAGGUAUCUCUGCAGGGGACAUUGUAACUACAUGAUCAAAGGUCCCUUUCAACUGAAACCAUUCUAGAAUUCUAUGAAGCAUUUAGUGUAGUACAAUAAGAAAAUGAGCUAAAUGUGUGGGACACCUGAGAAAAAUCCACAGAGACAUGUGACCAGUUCAAAACAGGCUGAAUUCUCUCAAGCAAGUGAUUAAAGCUUUUCCCAGAUUUAGUCUCAUGAAUGAGCUGGGCCAACUGUGUUUCUGUUAUAUUUCUGUUGAUAUAUUUGUG